GACGAACGCUGGCGGCGUGCUUAACACAUGCAAGUCGAGCGGUAAGGCCCUUUCGGGGGUACACGAGCGGCGAACGGGUGAGUAACACGUGGGUGACCUGCCCUCAGCUCUGGGAUAAGCCUGGGAGACCGGGUCUAAUACUGGAUAUGACUCCAUGACGCAUGUUGUGGGGUGGAAAGCCUUGUGCGGCUGGGGAUGGGCCGGCGGCCUAUCAGCUUGUUGGUGGGGUGANGGCCUACCAAGGCGACGACGGGUAGCUGGCCUGAGAGGGCGACCGGCCACACUGGGACUGAGACACGGCCCAGACUCCGUACGGGAGGCAGCAGUGGGGAAUCUUGCGCAAUGGGCGAAAGCCUGACGCAGCGACGCCGCGUGAGGGAUGACGGUCCU
rnacentral:rRNA from 1 species